rnacentral:rRNA from 1 species
UACGAAGGGGGCAAGCGUUGUCCGGAAUUAUUGGGCGUAAAGCGCGCGCAGGCGGUCCUUUAAGUCUGAUGUGAAAGCCCACGGCUCAACCGUGGAGGGUCAUUGGAAACUGGGGGACUUGAGUACAGAAGAGAAGAGUGGAAUUCCACGUGUAGCGGUGAAAUGCGUAGAGAUGUGGAGGAACACCAGUGGCGAAGGCGACUCUUUGGUCUGUAACUGACGCUGAGGCGCGAAAGCGUGGGGAGCAAACAGG